GGAAGUAAAAGUCGUAACAAGGUUUCCGUAGGUGAACCUGCGGAAGGAUCAUUACUGAUUUAGCGAACCGAGCGUUAGCGAGGUUUUGCGAUCAACUUGUAUUUAAAGCCCACUCUUCAAUUUAUAAAAUUUUUGUAUUAAUGAUAAAUUUAAAGAUCACUUUCAACAACGGAUCUCUUGGCUCUCGCAUCGAUGAAGAACGUAGCGAAGUGCGAUAAGUAAUGUGAAUUGCAGUAUUCCGUGAAUCAUCGAAUCUUUGAACGCAUAUUGCACUUUCUGGUAUUCCGGAAAGUAUGCCUGUUUGAGGGUCAGUUAAAUAAAAAUCGGUGUUGUUGCUGCCUUUCGUGGUGACGCGUCGGAAUUGAGUUGUCUUACCUUCGGUUAAGUGACUUAAAAUUUUGUAUGAUUUUUGAACGUAUUUAAAUUUAUUUGUACGUUUGAGAUAUCGAAUAUUUAUUAGGUUCGGUCAUUCUAACGACUCGCGCCUAUAAUUUUCCAUUAAAUGACCUCAAAUCAGGUAGGACUACCCGCUGAACUUAAGCAUAUCAAUAAGCGGAGGA
rnacentral:rRNA from 1 species